rnacentral:rRNA from 1 species
GUCCUCAGUCUGGUCUCCACUGGUAACGGUGGCUAAUACCGGAUGUGCCGGAAGGUGAAAGGCUUGCUGCCUGAAGAUGAGCUCGCGUCCGAUUAGCUAGUAGGUGGGGUAAGAGCCUACCUAGGCGACGAUCGGUAGCUGGUCUGAAAGGAUGACCAGCCACACUGGGACUGAAACACGGCCCAAACUCCUACGGGAGGCAGCAGUGGGGAAUUUUCCGCAAUGGGCGAAAGCCUGACGGAGCAAUACCGCGUGAGGGAGGAAGGCUCUUGGGUUGUAAACCUCUUUUCUCAGGGAAGAACACAAUGACGGUACCUGAGGAAUCAGCAUCGGCUAACUCCGUGCCAGCAGCCGCGGUAAUACGGAGGAUGCAAGCGUUAUCCGGAAUGAUUGGGCGUAAAGCGUCCGCAGGUGGCUGUGUAAGUCUGCUGUCAAAGAGCAAAGCUCAACUUUGUAAAGGCAGUGGAAACUACACGGCUAGAGUGCGUUCGGGGCAGAGGGAAUUCCUGGUGUAGCGGUGAAAUGCGUAGAGAUCAGGAAGAACACCGGUGGCGAAGGCGCUCUGCUAGGCCGCAACUGACACUGAGGGACGAAAGCUAUGGGAGCGAAUGGGAUUAGUAC